rnacentral:rRNA from 1 species
UAACGCGUGGGUAACCUGCCUCAUACAGGGGGAUAACAGUUAGAAAUGACUGCUAAUACCGCAUAAGACCACAGCACCGCAUGGUGCGGGGGUAAAAACUCCGGUGGUAUGAGAUGGACCCGCGUCUGAUUAGCUAGUUGGUAAGGGUAACGGCUUACCAAGGCGACGAUCAGUAGCCGACCUGAGAGGGUGACCGGCCACAUUGGGACUGAGACACGGCCCAAACUCCUACGGGAGGCAGCAGUGGGGAAUAUUGCACAAUGGGGGAAACCCUGAUGCAGCGACGCCGCGUGAGCGAAGAAGUAUUUCGGUAUGUAAAGCUCUAUCAGCAGGGAAGAAAAUGACGGUACCUGACUAAGAAGCACCGGCUAAAUACGUGCCAGCAGCCGCGGUAAUACGUAUGGUGCAAGCGUUAUCCGGAUUUACUGGGUGUAAAGGGAGCGUAGACGGAUGGGCAAGUCUGAUGUGAAAACCCGGGGCUCAACCCCGGGACUGCAUUGGAAACUGUUCAUCUAGAGUGCUGGAGAGGUAAGUGGAAUUCCUAGUGUAGCGGUGAAAUGCGUAGAUAUUAGGAGGAACACCAGUGGCGAAGGCGGCUUACUGGACAGUAACUGACGU